CCGCGGGUGGGGCGGCCGGGCCUGCGCUGGGGACGGCUCUGGGGACUGCGGCCGGCGCCGGGACCUGGAGGGGACGCUGGGGCCGAAGCAGCAUGUGACACCGACCAGUGUCAGCUCUGUUGUCCAGGCUGGUGUAUGGCGUGAUCUCUGCUCACUGCAACCUCUGCCUCCCAGGUUCAAGUGAUUCUUGUGCCUCAGCCACCCAAGUAGCUGGGAUUACAGGUGUGCACAACCACACCCAGCUAAGUUUUGUAUUUUUUAGUAGACAUGGGUUUUCACUAUGUUGGCCAGGCUGAUCUCGAACUCCUGGCCUCAAGUGGCCCACCCACAUCAGCCUCCCAAGUGCUGGGAUUACAGGUGUGAGCCACUGCACCUGGCCUUAUUAAUCUUCUAUAACAGAAAUUUUUAACCCUUUCACCAAUACGCUCCCAUUUUUCUCUCCCCCCAGCACAUCGCAGCAACCAUUCUACUCCCUGUUUCUAUGAGUUCGACUAUUUUGCAUUUUACAUAUAAGUGAGAUCAUGCAUUAUUUGUCUAUGUCUGGCUUGUUUCACUUAACAUAAUGUCCUCUGGUUCAUUCACAUUAUCACAAAUGGCAGGAUUUCCCCUUUUGAAGAUUGAAUGAUAUUCUAUUGUGUGUGUGUAUACAAAUGAAUGAAUAAUAUUUUAUUGUGUGUAUAUACAAAUGAAUAAAUAAGGAAAAUGGUGUGUGUGUGUAUGAAUGGAACCACAAAAUUCUAAAUAGCCAAAACAAUCUUUAAUAAUAACAAAGCUAGAGGCACCACAAUUGUUGAUUUCAAAAUAUAUUACAAAGCUUUAAUAAUCUAAACAGUGUGGAACUGGCAUAAAAACAAGACAUGUAGACCAAUGGAACAGAAUAGAGAGCCAGAAAUAAAUCCACACAUCUAUGGUCAACUGAUGUUUGACAACGGUGCCAAGAACACACAAUGGAGAAAUGAUAGUCUUCAAUAAAUGGUCUAGGAAAACUGCAUAUCUACAUGCAUAAAUUGCACCCUUAUCUUUUGUAUAUUAACCCACAUCACAUACAAAAAUAAAUAAACUCAAAAUGGAUUAAAGGCUUAAAUGAAUUAAUUUCAAACAGAGCAGACUUCAGUGCAAGGAAAAUUGUCAAGGGUAGAGUUAAUAAAUAGUACUAAAAUGAUCAAUUCCCCAAGAAGACAUAAUCCUUAAUGUGUAUGUACCUAGUAAAGUGUCAAAAUACAUGAGACAGAAACUGAAAGAACUAUGAGGGAGAUACAUAAAUGCACCCCUCUGUUAGUAAUGGAUGGGAGCGAAUCACAAUCCUCAAAGACACAAUCUCAAACUCCAUAAUCCUGACUGUUGAAAUCCCAGAGGGUCAAAAUCCUUAAAUGAAGUCUAGAAAAUUAUAAUCCUGAAAGAUCAAAAUCCCAAAAAUAUAAUUCUGGAAAAAAUAACUUAAAAUUUUUAAAGAAGAUAUUUAUUUACAUUUUUAAAGGAGAUUUAUUUAAGAAACAUGAAAACACGACAGAAUGCAUUAUAGGCCAGUUUAUGCAAUAAAAUAGGCAAUAAGAUACAUAUUUUUGCAAACAUGAACACUCAAGUAUACUAAUGACAGUUGCGUGGGUAUAACAGUUUUGAACUGACAAGUUGUGUUCAGAAAGAAAUAGGUCAAAAAGCAAAAUGUAUAAACGCAUGUCACUAUGGUUGGUAAUUGUGUGUACACCGAAAUUUAUAACUUCAGUCAUAUUAAAUAUUGUAAUGGAAAACCUAAGUCUUUUGGCAAGAUCAAGCAAAAACCCUGGGAGUGACACGUUGCAUCAUUAUACCAGUCAUCCAAGAAGCUACGACCUCAAGAAAUGUUAUCUCUCACAAAUGCAGAUGUGCAAAAGGACUUCUUGUAAUUUACUGAGGAAGUUUCAAUGUUUUUUAUGUACACUCAAAAUGCUUAAACAUAAAGUCAAUGUUGUUAUAAUGCACUUUCAAAAACUCAAAUUUGCAAAAAAUGCAUAAAAUAAAUUAGAACUAUUUAAAAGUCUUUACACAAUUUAUUCCUCCAGUAUUGGGAAUGAAGAUGAAAUACACAGUAUAGUUAUUGUAAAAAAUAAUGCUGACAAUAUAAAAUAGUGGAAAAAAUUAAAACAAGAAAAACAAAGGAGAAGAAAUGCAAAAAAAACUAAAAAGAAUAUUUGACAUAUGAAAAAGUGUAUUACAGGACUAAGUUGUGGGCAGUUGCCCAGAGGUAAUCCAUAAAAGCUGGCCAACUUUGAUUAUCGUUAACUAUUUUUUGAAGCCUUGCAUCGUGUUGAAUAGCUGCUUUUGUUCUUUUAGAGCAUGGCUUUCCUUGGAGACUAUGUUCACAUUCAUAGUCUACAUGGCAUUGGUCUUUUUGAAAUUCUUCUGUGAUUCUAUAUACUUUGACGUGAGCAUUCCCAAUUAAAUGUUUCUAUUUUCUGUGGCAUGCUUCUUUGUUGUUCUGGUUAUGCUAAAAUCCAUUUUGCAUGCACUCAUAUACUGACCAUGAAUUUCUCAGCAAAAAUACUGGUGAUUGAACAGCAAUUCCAUUGCAUACAUGUCUUCUAA
rnacentral:lncRNA from 1 species